rnacentral:rRNA from 1 species
CUAUGGCCAUACCACCCUGAACACGCCCGAUCUUGUCUGAUCUCAGAAGCUAAGCAGGGUUGGGCCUGGUUAGUACUUGGAUGAGAGAAUUUACUCUCACAUUGC